rnacentral:misc_RNA from 1 species
AACGCAUAUUGCGCCCAUUAGUAUUCUAGUGGGCAUGCCUGUUCGAGCGUCAUUGCAACCCUCAAGCUUUUUCGGCUUGGUUCUGGGGCGUAUCUACAAAGUCUCCUUGGCCUUAAUUGGCCUAUCAAGGUGUUGUAGGCCCUGAAAAUUAGUGGCGGGCUCGCCGAGACCCCGAGCGCAGUAAUUUCUCUCGCUUACGGGCCGUCGCGGAGGGUUUUCCAGCCGUAAAACACCCCAAAAUACGUACUAGAUUGACCUCGGAUCAGGUAGGGAUACCCGCUGAACUUAA